UACGGGGGGGGCAAGCGUUGUUCGGAAUUACUGGGCGUAAAGGGCUCGUAGGCGGCCAACUAAGUCAGACGUGAAAUCCCUCGGCUUAACCGGGGAACUGCAUCUGAUACUGGAUGGCUUGAGUUCGGGAGAGGGAUGCGGAAUUCCAGGUGUAGCGGUGAAAUGCGUAGAUAUCUGGAGGAACACCGGUGGCGAAGGCGGCAUCCUGGACCAUUACUGACGCUGAGUGAGCGAAAGCCAGGGGAGCAAACGGG
rnacentral:rRNA from 1 species